rnacentral:rRNA from 1 species
UUCCAUGGGGGAAACCGUGAUUAGGGGACACCCAAUGGCAGCGUCAUAUGUUGGCUUUCCAGGUGUGUAAAAUACACCUGUCAACAAGGGCCGGGCAAAAACCGUGCCCGCCCCCCCGGUUACCCCCGCCGCCCCAGUGGUGAUCCUUAUUAUUGGGUCUAAAGGGUCCUUAACCCGUUUGGUCAAUCCUCCUGGAAAUCUUACCGCUCAACCUUUAGGGUUUCCGGGAAAACUGCCCUGCUUGGAACCCGGAAAAGUUAAAAGUACUUUCGGGGUAAGAGUGAAAUCUUGUAAUCCCUGUGGGACCCCCUGUGGCGAAAGGCUCUUACCCAAACGGGUUCUACCGUCAAGGAACAAAGCUUGGGGCCCCAACCCGAAUAAAUUCCCCGGUAAUCCCUACCCUAAACCAUUCUUCCUUAGUGUCCGGCAUGGGUCCACCCUUUCUGGUGCCCCAAGGAAACCCUGAAACCAACCACCUGGGAAGUACCGGCCCCA